GAAAGCUCUUGGAAUAUAUCAAGUUCCUCCACCACUGUAAACUGGGCUCUUGUUCAUAUGCUCCAAGUGUGGCAUUUCCAUCAGCCUUAAAUAUUUAUCCUGCAUCACUUCGUUAAGGUGUUGGUCCAGAUUCUCAGGUUUUGAUUUUUUUGGAUCUGAACCCACCCCUGCUGCACUAGGAGGCAAGGUCCCAAGCACUGGACUGCCAGGGAAGUCCAGAGAAACCCUGCUCUAAGUGAUCCAACUGGGCAAGACUUGGAUUUGUAUAAAAGUGGUGGACGUUGGAAUAUACCUCAGGAGAUGAUUGAUGUUGACUUUUCAUUUCCUGGAAGGAAAAGAUCCUCAAAAACUACCUAACAUUCUCUGAAGCUAGAUUCUGCUCCUUGCUCCUGGAUCUCACUCAAGGAUGAGCAAGACAGUUACGCCUCUCAGGAAGCUUGCAGAUUUCAGAUCCCAGGGCAGCCGCCCAACAAAGCACCAGAGCUUGGCUCCCAGCGGGGCAUAUUCCCAGAGCAGCAUCCAUCCGGGAUCCGCAUCCGGCAGGCCUUGCUCUGCUCUGCAUCCUCGCUUAGGAUGGCAUAGGUGUUGAUUACACCGUGUUCCCAUUCUCUGCUUCCAACCCAUGGGCUAACGAAUGAGGGCAGUCCUCGUGGGUUCUGAUUAGAAUCUUCACAUAUCCGUCCCUAAAUUUGCAGAAUAUCAUAAGCCAGAAAGACUGUGUGUGUGUGUGUGUGUGUGUGUGGUGAGAACCACAUAUUCGAACCAUUCCCUAUUUCUGCACCUCAUCCUGCCAAUUACAAUCUGCUUGGUGGUGUGAAACUGACAGCCCGCAGCAGUGAUGGAGACAGGAGAACGAUGAACAAGGGCUUUGUGCAUUCUCAGCUUUAGAGAGAAUGUUCAGUGGGGCGGACAGGCAUGUAACUGGCAGGUUUAGGAAUCAGUAAAAACCAAGAACUGGAAGUCCUAAUUUAUCGUCUGUUUCAGUACAAGGCUAGACACAGGCUAUUUAAUAUAAUGCAUUGUUUACAAGUGGAGGAGAGUGGAAGUUAUUGAUGCAUUACAAAUGCAGGCAAAUGCAUCUCAUAAGCCAAGGGGUAGGUAAUAACAAUUGCAGGAGACUAAAUUUGACUUUAAUCCCCUGAAGAAUGGCAUGCAUACAGCUU
ensembl:lncRNA